GUCCUACGGGWGGCWGCAGUAGGGAAUMUUCCGCAAWRGGCGAAAGCCUGACGGAGCAAUGCCGCGUGAGUGAUGAAGGUUUUCGGAUCGUAAAGCUCUGUUGCCAGGGAAGAACGCUUGGGAGAGUAACUGCUCUCAAGGUGACGGUACCUGAGAAGAAAGCCCCGGCUAACUACGUGCCAGCAGCCGCGGUAAUACGUAGGGGGCAAGCGUUGUCCGGAAUUAUUGGGCGUAAAGCGCGCGCAGGCGGUCAUUUAAGUCUGGUGUUUAAUCCCGGGGCUCAACCCCGGAUCGCACUGGAAACUGGGUGACUUGAGUGCAGAAGAGGAGAGUGGAAUUCCACGUGUAGCGGUGAAAUGCGUAGAUAUGUGGAGGAACACCAGUGGCGAAGGCGACUCUCUGGGCUGUAACUGACGCUGAGGCGCGAAAGCGUGGGGAGCAAACCAGGAUWUMCAYACCCWYANSUAGUCAC
rnacentral:rRNA from 1 species